UAUCUAAAAUCGGUGCGGCAAGUUAUAGCAAGUGUAGAGCAUGCGGGGAAGAUGAUGAGACGUUGUUCAUUGCCCGGCUUUCGCGUCUAACAGAUACCGGUACUUAGGUGGGGACACAAUACCAGACAUGAACAAACUUAGGGGCGUGGCAUGGAAACAAGGAAUUUAUGAUCGACGUUUUGCCAACACACACAAAGAAAUUUGUUUGCGUGUGUGUAUGCGUGUCCGUACAUGGGCAGAGAGUAUGCGAGAAAGAAGAUGACAACAAAGAGAAUGCAAACAAAAAUCUGACAUCUUAACACCGUCAAACCUGGCCGGCUGUUAACAAAUGUUCGAGUGAGGCCAAAUUUUUACAUCCGCCUUGAGAAAAAAAGUCUCUUUGGGUUAAACCCCGUUUACACCGCUCAUUAAAUCCGGAUUUAAGGCUCUCGUCAGCUGAUUUUAUAAGAGGAAAAUAGAUGAUCGAGCCAUUAAAUAUGAAAUUAAAGAGCAGUGUAAACGGAUUUCAAAUGCUUUUAUUAGCAUUUGAAAUCCGUUUACACAAAUUUUUACUGGAAGUCGUUCGAGUACUUUAUUUGCCAGCAGAAGAGAGCGCAAAUUUUGACAGCUAGAAAAUAGAGAACCUGGAAAUUUCUACUGCAACUUUUUUUACUAGCUGAAAUUUGUAACUUUGAAAAGAUGUUUUGUAAAGGUCUAUUGUUUUAUGAAAAGCAGCCGUUACAUGAAAAUACAAAAGCUUACGUCAAAAUGGAUCAAAAAGGCUGAGAUUCAUGGCAGCAGCUAGUGUUCAGAUACAGAAGACUCGACAAAUGACGUUGUAAUUUUACCUCAAGUCGGUUGUUCUACAUUAGA